rnacentral:lncRNA from 1 species
GAUGCCAUUUAUUGAUUCCAAAAAAGAUAGCAAGAUGGCACAUGGAUUCAGAUGUACUUAAACCAAAACAAUCCAUAUUUUCUGGAGAAAUUGCAGAGCAGCACAACAAAGGUUACAUGGUUUCUGUAGUUGAGAGAAACAAGUUCAGGUUAUCAACAGUACACCCACCACGCCAAGUUCUUAACUGAACAUAUGCAUUUGUUUCAGAGAUGGUGUUACAUCCUGUGAUAUAAAUGAAAAUUACAGCAAAACAAAAAACCUGCAAGAGAAGCGCUCUGCCAAACCAAAAGAUAAUUGAACCAUUGGAUCUUGAGCUGAUGUACUGCAUGCACUUCUUUGUUUGUACGAGAUUCACCUCUAUUUUUGUGGUUCAUAUAUUGAAGAUCCUUCAAUUCAGUUAUCAACACACCAUAGCAGGCAUGCUUGCCACCUAUCUUUUGGAUGCACUCCCUUGUCAUUUUCUAUUGCUAAUUAGAGCACUUCAGGAGCACCGACUCAUGUGCGAAUGUGUAGCUGGUUUCAGACUAGACAAUACUCUGGCAAUACCUGUGCAAUUGAGCAACAAGUUCAGAAUAGGAGAAGCAACCAGGAAUCAUUCACACGAAGAGUACUGAAUAAAAAUAAGAAUUGCACUGAUCUAAAAUUAGUUUUAAACUGAGGGUGUCACUUUGGUGUGUGAUCAUUUCUUGUGAACAUUCAAUUAAACAUGUUUGGUGUCACUUGAUGCAAGAAGGCAAGAAGGUUUUAUUUUGUACACACACACAUAGUACUGUCAUAUGUGUUGCACAAAAGAAAAUCAGGAACUCAUGGGAUGGAGGGUCGAAAUGUUGCACAAAAAUAUAUGGUUUCUCUUUUUGCUUAGACAUUCCCACAAACGUACCAAGUGCACAGGUUGAACUGAUCUCGUGCACUUGCUCGAGGGUAGGCCGGGAGCUACGAAUAGAGUAGCACAUGAGUCGAACUUCAAUUGGGAGGCUACAUAAAAAGAGGACAAAACUAAGAGAGAUAGCAGUCAUUGAACUGAAACAAAAUUAGGAAUUCAAUUGGACUAAAUCAAGAAAUUAACUGAUUGUGCCACGAGUUAGGCAAUGGUGAAGAUCAUUCCAUUUUGCUAUCUCUCUCUCAACUCAGAUCACUCUGCUGCAGCAACAAACAGCAGCAACGCACCAAUGCAAGCAGCUGGGGCUUCAUGCAAUUUUUGGCUUGAUUUUUUUGAUUGAACUGAGCUUGAAUUUUCCACUGAACUUAGCUUAAACAUCGCCAGAAAUUAGUUGAACUUUUUGUACUGAACUUAACUGAACUUUGUACAAGGAUCCACAUUUUACCUAAACUUUUUUUGAGGGAUUUGCACGGCUGACCGGUGGUGAAGGCAGGGUGAGCAGAGGCA